rfam:Cavia porcellus supercont2_107 genomic scaffold, whole genome shotgun sequence.
GGGCUGGCUUUAGCCCAGCAGUUCCUUCAAGUCUGGCUUCCCAACCGCCCGGGCUGAUUAGACUGGUGGUUCCAGACCCGCGGGUGCUCUCCAGUCCUUUU